rnacentral:rRNA from 1 species
AUGAACGCUGGCGAUGUGUCUAAGGCAUGCAAGUCGAAAGCUGGUAGCAAUACCGGCUUGGCAAACGGGAGAGUAACGCAUUGGUAACUUACCUCGAAGACGGGAAUAACCCACCGAAAGGUGGAAUAAUACCCGAUAGUCGUGGGGGGACAUAAGUCAUUCCCACGUAAAGGCUCAGACGCUUUGAGAGAGACCUAUGUUCUAUCAGCUAGUUGGUGAGGUAAAAGCUCACCAAGGCUACGACGGAUAGCGGGUGUGAGAGCAUGACCCGUCUCACUGGGACUGAGAAACUGCCCAGACUCCUACGGGAGGCUGCAGUCAAGAAUAUUCCUCAAUGGCCGCAAGGCUGAAGGAGCGACAUCGCGUGCAGGAAGAAGCCCCUCGGGGUGUAAACUGCUUUUAUUUGGGAAGAACUAUGACGGUACCAAAUGAAUAAGGGGUUGCUAAACUCGU